rnacentral:rRNA from 1 species
GAGUUUGAUCAUGGCUCAGAAUGAACGCUGGCGGCGUGCCUCAGGCAUGCAAGUCGAACGAGAAAGUACCUUCGGGUACAAGUAAAGUGGCGCACGGGUGAGUAAUACUUGGGUAACGUACCUUUCUGAGGGGGACAACUGGGGGAAACCUCGGCUAAUACCGCGUACGCCGAAAAGGACUGCGGUCUUUUUCGGGAAAGCCGUAAGGCGCAGAGAGAGCGGCCCAAGUCCCAUUAGCUUGUUGGUGGGGUAAUGGCCUACCAAGGCUACGAUGGGUAGCUGGUCUGAGAGGAUGAUCAGCCACACUGGUACUGGAACACGGACCAGACUCCUACGGGAGGCAGCAGCUGGGAAUAUUGCGCAAUGGGCGAAAGCCUGACGCAGCAACGCCGCGUGAGUGAGGAAGGCCUUCGGGUCGUAAAGCUCUUUUAGCAGGGAAGAAAUCAAUGACGGUACCUGCAGAAAAAGCACCGGCUAACUCCGUGCCAGCAGCCGCGGUAA